UUACUGCUUCCUCCGUUCGGAAUUACUUGUCACCAAAAUGGAUGUAUCUAGAACUAAAAUACAUCUAGAUACAUCCAUUUCAAUGACGAGUAUUUCCGAACGGAGGGAGUACAAC
rnacentral:pre_miRNA from 1 species